UAACUUUAAUUUUUUAAGUGUGGAAUACUUUGAAUGGACAGUUCGUUUGUGUGUACGUCGGACGUGAGUCAGAACUCAUUCAUAUCGUCAAUAAGUUGUUGACAACUUGCCAAUAUGUGUAAAGUGCAAGGUUUGUUCAAGUUAUAAAUGUACUCGAAAUAGUAGCUUGUUUAAAAACUUAAAUUUGUCGGGGAAUUUAAAUAACUGCACAAGCUGUUCCCAGCCAUUUUUCUCUGUUCGAAAUCUAGAGAGGGCAAACCGCCCAACUGUCAAACCGCCCCUUUAUGGCAAACUAGUCAUGACUUCCAUAAGAUCAAGCUAUCAAAUUACGUUGUAAAUAAAAGUAGGAAAUUUUCACGUUUAGUAGGAAGACUUGAUUUAUAUCAUGAACCAGUUUCAAUUAAUUUAGGCCUGAAACUUUUUGAAUCGAUAAAUUCGUGGACUACGAAUAUUCACUGCAUGAGUGGUUGCAGGUCGUCUUAGAAAACCUUUUGCUUGGAAUUCAGUUUUUUUGUAAAGGUUGUGGUUUUUAAAAUAUUUCUUCUGCAAACAAGGAUUAUUUAAUUUACUGUGCAACUGCGCUUCGCAACCGUGUUUAGCCACAUGCUGUCGGCUUUAUCUCAUGCCUGGCCGCCAUUCAUAUGAUUUGCUGAAUCAGAGGCGUGUCGUGGGCAAGUUUUGUGAAAACUGCCGUCUGAUUGGCUAGAUUUUAUCAUCUGACUGGCAUUGCGUGAUUUGAUUGGCCAAAGUGUUUAACAAAGCGAUUCACGCUAUUUGAUUGGUCUAUUGAUGUGGUGGAACCAUAGGAUUCACUCUGGGAUAAAGUUUUGUUUGUGAAAAUGCUACGCAUUAUUGCCCAAAUCCAUAGAAAAACCGUAUGGUUCUUAAAAAACUUCGUAGGAAGUGUUCGCCCACAAAUAAGCUCGAUAUGUUAGCUGUAAAUACACUUGCUGAGCAAAAUAUCCAAUCGCACAAUGACUUGCAGCCAUUCAAACAUUUGUCUCAAAGCUCUUAGUUGUCCGAGAAGUAAAAUAGGCAAAUGGUUAAAUUCCUCUAGACUGAAACAUAGAGCAUUUUCAAACGCAAUGAAAUAUUUUUUAAAUACAGAUCAGCUCUAGCUCAGAUGAAUGUGAUUUUUUUAAUCUCCUUUGUACCUUAAGUCAGAAAUUCUAAGCUAUAU